UCUUGGAUAACUCAGCUGGCAGAGCAGGUGACUCUAAACCUCAGGGUUGUGGGUUCGGGCCCCACGUCGGGCA